rnacentral:rRNA from 1 species
UACGAGUGCUUCAAGCGUUAUCCGGAAUCAUUGGGCGUAAAGGGUGUGUAGGCGGUCAUGUUAGUCUCCCGUUAAAUCUUUCGGCUCAACCGAGAGUCCGCGGGGGAAACGGCAUGACUUAGAGGACGGAAGAGGUCUCUGGAACUCAUGGUGUAGCGGUGAAAUGCGUUGAUAUCAUGGGGAACACCAAAAGCGAAGGCAAGAGACUGGUCCGCUCCUGACGCUGAAACACGAAAGCGUGGGUCGCGAAUGGG